UCGCUCUGGUCCCUCCUCAGGUAUAUUGCGUGCUAAUCUUUCGCCUUUUACUAAAGAUUACCGUGGGGAGGGAUCCUCUCAAAUGAGCCUACAGGCCAAGUUUUGAAAGGCCUUGCCCGUGUGGUCG